ensembl:snRNA U6 U6 spliceosomal RNA
GUGCUCACUUCAGCAGCACAUAUACUAAAACUGGAACAACAUAGAGAAGAUUAACAUGGCCCCUGUGCAAGGAUGACACGCAAAUUCAUGAAGCGUUCCAUAUUUUU